rnacentral:rRNA from 1 species
AGUGAACGCUGGCGGUAUGCCUAACACAUGCAAGUCGAACGGCAGCACAGUAAGAGCUUGCUCUUACGGGUGGCGAGUGGCGGACGGGUAAGGAAUACAUCGGAAUCUACUUUUUCUUGGGGGAUAACGGAGGGAAACUUACGCUAAUACCGCAUACUACCUACGGGUGAAAUCAGAGGAUCUUCGGACCUUGCGCGAUUGAAUGAGCCGAUGUCGGAUUAGCUAGUUUGCGGGGUAAAGGCCCACCAAGGCGACGAUCCGUAGCUGGUCUGAGAGGAUGAUCAGCCACACUGGAACUGAGACACGGUCCAGACUCCUACGGGAGGCAGCAGUGGGGAAUAUUGGACAAUGGGCGAAAGCCUGAUCCAGCCAUACCGCGUGGGUGAAGAAGGCCUUCGGGUUGUAAAGCUCUUUUGUUGGGAAAGAAAAGAAGUAGGUUAAUACCCCGCUGUUCUGACGGUACCCAAAGAAUAAGCAACGGCUAACUUCGUG